GACCUCAAGUCAAGUGAGAGUACCCGCUGAACUUAAGCAUAUCAAUAAGCGGAGGAAAAGAAACUAACAAGGAUUCCCCUAGUAACGGCGAGUGAAGCGGGAAAAGCACAAAAUUUAAAUCUACCUGGUUACCAGGUCGAGUUGUAAUUUGAAGAAAGUGUUUUAAUGUUCCGGGUUGGUUUAAAUCCUUUGGGAUAAGGUAUCAUGGAGGGUGAGAAUCCCGUGUAUAUCAACCGCUGGGAUGUUAUUAAUACAUUUUCGAAGAGUCGAGUUGUUUGGGAAUGCAGCUCUAAAUGGGUGGUAAAUUUCACCUAAUGCUAAAUAUAAGCGAGAGACCGAUAGCGAACAAGUACCGUGAGGGAAAGAUGAAAAGUACUUUGAAAAGAGAGUUAAAUAGUACGUGAAAUUGUUGAAAGGGAAACGAUUGAAGUCAGUCAUGCCGGCAAGAAUCAAUUUGGAAUAACAUCCGAAUGUAUUUCUUCGCUUGGCAGGUUAGCGUCGAUUUUGAACGUCAUAAAAUGAUUGGGGGAAGGUAGCUUCUUCGGAAGUGUUAUAGCCUUUAGUUAAUGUGAUGUUUGGGAUCGAGGAUUGCAACGGAUACCUUUUAGGCUAGCCGCCUGACCUCUGAUUCGAUGUUGGGUUAUAGACAGCAUGCUGACUAUGAUUUGAUUAUCGGUCAAAAGGUUAGAGUGAGCAUAAAUUCGUUAAGGACGCUGACGUAAUGGCUUUAAACGACCCGUCUUGAAACACGGACCA
rnacentral:rRNA from 1 species